rnacentral:rRNA from 1 species
GACGAACGCUGGCGGCGUGCCUAAUACAUGCAAGUCGAACGCAGUGGGGAUGGGUGAGUAACACGUUGGUAACCUCCCAUCAGAGGGGAUAACACUUGGAAACAGGUGCUAAACCGAUACUGAUGGAUGGACCCGCGGUGGAGUAGCUAGGUGUUGAGGUAACGGCCCAACAAGGCCACGAUGCAUAGCCGACCUGAGAGGUGGUCGUGCCACACUGGUCGGUAUACGCGGCCCAGACUCCUACGUGAGGCAGCGGUAGGGAAUAUUCGGCAAUGGGCGGAAGGCUGACCGAGCAAUGCAGCGUGAGGGAAGAAGGUUUUCGGAUCGUAAAACUCUGUUGUUAGAGAAGCGGUAUCUAACCAGAAAGCCACGGCUAACUACGUGCCAGCAGCCGCGGUAAUAC